CAUGCAAGUCGAGGGGCAGCGGGAUUGAAGCUUGCUUCAAUUGCCGGCGACCGGCGCACGGGUGAGUAACGCGUAUCCAACCUUCCGUACACUCAGGGAUAGCCUUUCGAAAGAAAGAUUAAUACCUGAUGGUAUCUUAAGCACACAUGUAAUUAAGAUUAAAGAUUUAUCGGUGUACGAUGGGGGUGCGUUCCAUUAGGUAGUAGGCGGGGUAACGGCCCACCUAGCCAACGAUGGAUAGGGGUUCUGAGAGGAAGGUCCCCCACAUUGGAACUGAGACACGGUCCAAACUCCUACGGGAGGCAGCAGUGAGGAAUAUUGGUCAAUGGACGAGAGUCUGAACCAGCCAAGUAGCGUGAAGGAUGAAGGUCCUACGGAUUGUAAACUUCUUUUAUAAGGGAAUAAACCCUCCCACGUGUGGGAGCUUGUAUGUACCUUAUGAAUAAGCAUCGGCUAACUCCGUGCCAGCAGCCGCGGUAAUACGGAGGAUGCGAGCGUUAUCCGGAUUUAUUGGGUUUAAAGGGAGCGCAGACGGGUCGUUAAGUCAGCUGUGAAAGUUUGGGGCUCAACCUCAAAAUUGCAGUUGAUACUGGCGUCCUUGAGUGCGGUUGAGGUGUGCGGAAUUCGUGGUGUAGCGGUGAAAUGCUUAGAUAUCACGAA
rnacentral:rRNA from 1 species